UACGUAGGGGCCUAGCGUUGUCCGGAAUUAUUGGGCGUAAAGGGCGCGUAGGCGGGCCGCCAGGUCCGGGGUGAAAGCCUCCAGCUCAACUGGAGAAGUGCCUUGGAUACCGGCGGCCUCGAGGGAGGUAGGGGCGUGCGGAACUUCGGGUGGAGCGGUGAAAUGCGUAGAUAUCCGAAGGAACACCGGUGGCGAAAGCGGCGCGCUGGAUCUCUUCUGACGCUGAGGCGCGAAAGCCAGGGGAGCAAACGGG
rnacentral:rRNA from 1 species